rnacentral:rRNA from 1 species
UACGAGAGGCCCAAACGUUAUUCGGAUUUACUGGGCUUAAAGAGUUCGUAGGCGGCUUGGAAAGUGGGGUGUGAAAGCCCUCGGCCUAACCGAGGAAUUGCGCUCCAAACUACCGAGCUUGAGUAGGCUAGAGGUGAGCAGAACUGAUGGUGGAGCGGUGAAAUGCGUUGAUAUCAUCAGGAAUACCGGAGGCGAAGGCGGCUCACUGGGACCUAACUGACGCUGAGGAACGAAAGCUAGGGGAGCAAACGGG